rnacentral:rRNA from 1 species
CCUACGGGAGACAGCAGUGGGGGAUAUUGCACAAUGGUGGGGACCCUGAUGCAGCGACGCCGCGUGGGUGAAGAAGCGCCUCGGCGCGUAAAGCUCUGUCAGCAGGGAAGAAAAUGACGGUACCUGAAGUAGAAGCUCCGGCUAACUACGUGCCAGCAGCCGCGGUAAUACGUAGGGGGCAAGCGUUAUCCGGAUUUACUGGGUGUAAAGGGGGCGUAGACGGCGAUGCAAGCCAGGAGUGAAAGCCCGGGGCCCAACCCCGGGACUGCUCUUGGAACUGCGUGGCUGGAGUGCAGGAGGGGCAGGCGGAAUUCCUGGUGUAGCGGUGAAAUGCUUAGAUAUCAGGAGGAACACCGAUGGCGAAGGCGGCCUGCGGGACUGCAACUGACGUUGAGGCCCGAAGGCGUGGGGAGCAAACAGGAUUAGAUACCCCAGUAGUC